GAAUUCCAGGUGUAGCGGUGAAAUGCGUAGAGAUCUGGAGGAAUACCGAUGGCGAAGGCAGCCAUCUGGCCUAAUACUGACACUGAGGUGCGAAAGCAUGGGGAGCAAACAGGAUUAGAUACCCUGGUAGUCCAUGCCGUAAACGAUGUCUACUAGCCGUUGGGGGAUUUGAUCCUUUAGUGGCGCAGCUAACGCGAUAAGUAGACCGCCUGGGGAGUACGGUCGCAAGACUAAAACUCAAAUGAAUUGACGGGGGCCCGCACAAGCGGUGGAGCAUGUGGUUUAAUUCGAUGCAACGCGAAGAACCUUACCUGGCCUUGACAUAGUAGAGACUUUCCAGAGAUGGAUUGGUGCCUUCGGGAAUCUACAUACAGGUGCUGCAUGGCUGUCGUCAGCUCGUGUCGUGAGAUGUUGGGUUAAGUCCCGCAACGAGCGCAACCCUUUUCCUUACUUGCCAGCAUUUCGGAUGGGAACUUUAAGGAUACUGCCAGUGACAAACUGGAGGAAGGCGGGGAAGACGUCAAGUCAUCAUGGCCCUUACGGCCAGGGCUACACACGUGCUACAAUGGUCGGUACAAAGGGUUGCUACACAGCGAUGUGAUGCUAAUCUCAAAAAGCCGAUCGUAGUCCGGAUCGCAGUCUGCAACUCGACUGCGUGAAGUCGGAAUCGCUAGUAAUCGCGGAUCAGAAUGCCGCGGUGAAUACGUUCCCGGGCCUUGUACACACCGCCCGUCACACCAUGGGAGUUUGU
rnacentral:rRNA from 1 species